rnacentral:piRNA from 1 species
AGGAUGUGUUUAGAGAGCUGAUUGGAACA